rnacentral:rRNA from 1 species
UACGUAGGUGGCAAGCGUUGUCCGGAUUUACUGGGCGUAAAGAGCGCGCAGGCGGUCGUUCAAGUCGCGUGUGAAAGCCCCCGGCUCAACUGGGGAGGGUCACGCGAUACUGAUCGACUCGAAGGCAGGAGAGGGUAGUGGAAUUCCCGGUGUAGUGGUGAAAUGCGCAGAUAUCAGGAGGAACACCUAUAGCGAAGGCAGCUCGCUGGGACGUAACUGACGCUAAGGCGCGAAAGCGUGGGGAGCGAACAGG